UCUCUCAUAGUAUAACGGGUUAAUACACACACUGCGGAUGCUAAUAAGUUCUUCAGAAGCUCUUGGCGUGAGAUCUGGGUUCGAUUCCCGGUGAGAGAA